UUGUGUUUUGUUUUUUGAAAAAGUGUUUCCUUAUUCAAAUAGUUUUAUUGUGAAACCCGAUGUUUUAUUUUGAAACGGAAUCGUCUAAAUUGGCAUAAGGACGGUCAAUUUAACCUGAAUUUGACGACGCGGUGAGAAAAGUUCUCUUCUUGUUUGUUUGGCAUCUGGGUGAUGUUGGAACAAGGGGGAAUUUGCGAGCUGGCAAAACUGCUACUGGCGUCCCAGUGGACAACAGCUCUUAUCAUGUGUUCACUGGUAGUGAAGAAAAAGACAGACCAUCAUUCAUCCGGGGACAUUUAGAACAGUUGCUGUCAGGAUACUUCUUCAACACAACAGGUUUAAAAUCCUUUGGCAAACUGACGCAGGCAAAUACCUGCAUGCUGAAUCCUUGGGUCUUUGGAAACUAACAUUUAAUCGAAUCUGCUGCUGCCAUCAUUGUCUGAAACUGUGGUGCUGAUUCCAGUCAACAAAUUACUGGAGCUAAAACCGGCUGACGUCAUGAGGCACUGUGAUAUGAAUGAAUAUUUAUUGUAAUAAACUGAAGAAUUUUAGGUUUUAAAAAAAUGAACAUGCAUUAGUUAAAAAAGGACUUUGAUGCAUUUUCACCUCAACAUCAUCAAUUAAACAGACUAACU